AUGGACGUCCAAGCCAUCAUUCAGAUCAAGGCGUCGCCACGCCGGCUGGGCGACGGCGUAUUAGCCUGGGCACCGGACCCUAAGGGCAUCUUCAGCGUCCGUACAGCCUACCAUCUUGCACAUGAUGAGAAGUACCGCACAUCUUUGUGUGCCACGAGCAGGGCACCGGACGGCACAUGUGCUGUCUGGGAAGCAUUGUGGAGGUGCCCUGCUCCUCCGAAGGUACGAGUUUUUGCCUGGCGGGUCGCUACUAACUCUCUUGCUACUGCGGCAAAUUUGAAGCGUCGAAACAUUGUGGUGACUGACACUUGCGUUAUUUGUGGACUGGAAUGUGAGGACACUUUCCACGCGUUGUGCAGAUGCCCGCUUGCCCAACGCCUAUGGCGAGCCAUGGGAGAACUCUGGAGCAUGCCGAAGCUGGAAGAUAUCCAAAAUACAGGACCCGAGUGGCUACUUCAACUCCUGCUCCAAUGCCAGCCGGAAGAACGACUACAAGUGCUGAUGACGCUCUGGCGCUCCUGGCACAUGCACAAUGAACUCACUCACGACAAGCCAGCUCCACCUAUUGAAGCCUCCACACGCUUCCUGAGCAGCUACAUCGACACCCUUCUGUGCAUCAAACAACACCCAAUCGCUGACAUGGACAAAGGGAAGAUGGUCGUUUCCUACCAUGGUAAGCAACCUGCCGGCCAUGAUGGCACCAAGACGCAUGUAAUACAUGCAUGCUGGAGCAAACCACCAAGAGGAUGGACAAAACUGAACAUAGAUGGGUCGUUUGUGGAAGAGCUGGGCACCGGAGGGGCUGGAAUGGUUCUCCGCAGUGAUUCAGGUCAAGUCAUCUAUUCCUCUUAUCGCUACCUCUGGUCUUGUUCUUCAGCGCUUGAAGCAGUGCUGGCUGCAUGCUUGGAAGGAAUCAACAUCGCGAGAGCCUGCAGGUCGACUCCUAUGAUAGUAGAAACUGACUGUUUGGUUGCUGCGCAAAUGAUCAUUCAGAGCGACACCAACAGGUCACCAUGUGCGUCAUAUGUAGGGGAGAUCAAGAGAAUGUUAGAAGAGGUAGGAGAACAUGCGAUAUCGCAUGUGGUAAGGAGCAGAACAAAGUCGCCCAUGCUCUAG
rnacentral:rRNA from 1 species